UUCGGCUUAUCUGCGGGUCAUAUCAUUUUCUUUCGUAUUUCAAUGGUCAAAUUAACACCUCGGCUUAUCUACGGGGUCGGCUUAUCCGCGGUCAUAUACGGUAAUUUCUCUUAUUCAAAUUAGCCACAAAUAAGCCAGACUCCAUAGUUUUUACUGAAUGAAGUUUCAGGCUGUAUCAUUAGCUUACCUGACUGAGAGACACAUCAGCUUCUGCCAUGGCUCGGAUUUCUGGACCAAAGCUUGAUGCUGGAACUUCACUUUGUUCUGACCAAAGAUGAAAUCCCAAUGUUUUGAUCACCCGACUUGAAGUCAUGUGAGCUUAUAUACCUGGAUGCGUUGUCCAUCAUUAACUUUUGAAUUUUCAACAUUUUCUCGGAAACUAUUACAUCUAUGGAACUGAAACUUAUUAUAAAUGCUACCAACUAUGUGGUGCUCACAGAAAUGUGAUUUUAAACAUGGCCAGCAAAGCAGAUAUAUUGAAAAUGUCAUUUUGGGCAUAAAACUCUUUUCUGCAUGUAUUAUUAUUGAAAUUGCAAGCGUUUUUUUAAAAAACAUAUGUUUUGUUUCUAAUGUUUCUGCAUUGUUGAAAAUUCUUCUGUGAUACUUUGCUUAUGUUAUCUCAGCAAUAGUGUCAUUAACAUUGUGCUCACAAUACUCUUGAUAUGAUUUAAACAUAAUUAUGUACAUGGGCAUCACAUCUAACACCUUUUGAUACAGGAGGUGAGGUAAAAUGGGGUUUAAUGUUGCGUCCAAGAUUAUUGCACUUAUAUAGCGACGUGCAUGCACGUGUGUGUGUUUACAGACAUUACAGAUGUUACAGGACUGUGUACGUUGAAAACAUUCAUCACACCUUGGACUGUGCUUGACUUACCCUGGUGUGUUUGGACCCAUUUGGUCAUUUUUCUCUCAAUCAUCAGCGUAUAACUGUGGAUUACAUUCAUGGGACUCCCUUUAUUCUUCUUCUACUUGUGUUUGAACAUGUGUUCUUCCUACUUAUUUUUGUCCAUUCCAUGUAUAGAUUUUAAUCUUCUCCAAUUCCAUCCUUUGGGGGCUCUUGGUUGCACACAACCUCAUUUGGGCUUUCCAUGCCCUGCAUACUGUAUAGGAAUGGCUUGUGGCCCCAAAAGUACCUUUCUUCCAAAUUUACAGUCCAGGGCCGGCACGGUCUCAGGACUUGUUCAUUACCCGCAGGGUAACUAGCAUUCAUUCAAUCAGGUCAGCACGACCCUUACCUCUUCAUUCAUACCCGCAGGGUUUUUCAUUCAUACCCGCAGGGUAUGUCUUUUUAUGUAGCAACCGAGUAGCCCCUAAUAUAUUGCCAAUGUUAUUAAUAAAUAUUUUCAUGAAUCCUAUUGUUUUGUUGUUACUGCACAAAAUGUAAAUUCUAUGUUUUUGUUUGUGCAGUGAUAACAUAUAUUUUCUACAUUUCCCAUGUUCCUAGCUUCACGACGUCCCCUGCAUGUCCUGCCAUAAAUAUAUUUGCUCAAUAUCCACUUAUGUAUACGUAUCAUUUAUUCUCCAUAGUAAUUCCCAGCUCACUUCCAACUCCCCUCACGUAAACAAUACUCUGUAUCAUGUUACAUUUAGGCUAUCCCACAAUGCACCAUUUUAUCCUCUGCUCAUGCCCAGAACUACGGACAUGACGUCACAAUGUUUUCUUAUAUUAACCCCAACAGCCUCGAUAUCGUUUACCUAUUUCUGUCAUGUUUAUAGCAGCUGCAGCGAUACCCUCCAUCCAUCCCCUGUCUCCACCGUUGGGCUAUUCGGUUUCAUAUAUUUCGUAUUUCUUCGUAAGGGCUUCACAAGUCAUGUUUUUCAUUCAUACCCACAGGAUAUGUCUUUUUACGUAGCACCGACGGGCUGGGCUUCACAAGUCAUUCCAUGCCCUGCAUAUUGUAUAGGAAUGGCUUGUGGCCCCCGAAUUACCUUUCUUCCAAAUUUACAGUCUAGGACUUGUUCAUUACCCGAAGGAUAACUAGCAUUCAUUCAGUCAGGUCGGCACGACCCUUACCUCUUCAUUCAUACACGCAGGGUUUUUCAUUCAUACCUGCAGGGUAUGUCUUUUUAUGUAGCAUCGGUAACCGAGUAGCCCCUAAUAUAGCCUCAAACACUAUGUAGAAAAGCUUUUUAAAAUUCUAGAAGUAAAACAAUUCUUAUACACAUAUUUCUUUCUUUCACAAGAAGUGAUAGAAUAUUUUAGCAAUAAAUUAUGGUUGUUCAGCUUACUUUAUGCAGAUUUUAAUAAUUAGACAUAACCUACAUUUAUUUUAGAUUACAUACAAUUUUUUACUGAAUAGAACACUUUAAACAUGCUGUAUUAUUUCAAUACAACACCAAAUAGUGAUUUCAACUCUCUUCUUUGCUGACCUGAGCAGUUCUGCCAGUUCAUGUGCUGAGAGAGUAUGCAGGGUGAUCAAAGCAUGCAGUUUAACAAUAGGUGUUAGCUGGCCAAUCAGCAUUUAAAACUGCUGGCCAUGGGGGCAAUAAGUAGGUUAUACAGCACAGAUACACUGUGUUAUAGCUGACUGAUAACACAAAAUCUAACUAACAACUAAUUAUAUAUAAUAAAUAUAUGUAAAAACCUGAAAUGAAAUUAGAACAAAUAUAUACAAAAACACAACACCGGACACAUCUCUGAAAGGCACCCAGUGACAGAAGAACAAAAUAGAUUUAUGGCAAAGGUCAGAUGUUAAGUGCGUUGCUUUGCGUUGUCCUUCUCUCCAUGUGCAGUUUUCCCUGCCAACAUGUCCUGUGAGGCUCCUGCCUGGGUUAUCACUUAAAAAGAAUGAAGUUUAAUAGAAAUUUUAUUAUUAAACAAAAAUAAGGGCCAAACUCAAAAAUCUAUAUAAAAAACCUAUAUACUAAUCCCCUUUCCCUGCCUUCUUAAAACUUUGCAAUCAAACUCUUGAACUUUAUAUUGUUUCCACCCCUCUAACUUACAUGGACAGGACCUCAACUGUUCUGAAGUUUUGUUUGAAAACAAUAGCUGAUAACCCCGAGCCUACUCGGCUCUGCUCACCUUAUAACGUGAGACAUUUUCUGCUCCAAUGACCACACUACAGGUGUAGGCUAAUAACGUGACUGGACAUUUAUCUUGUUUAUAAACAAACACACUGAUUCUGAAAUAAAAACAGAAGUAGUAUAGGUAAUAGGGGUUCUGGACCACUUCCACUGGAGUCGGAUUUAUAUACCUAUACUGCUACUACAGGUGGCAUAUUUUAUGCCAAAAUGAUUAUGCGAUUCAACGAUAGUCAUGAGAUUAACCUUUUCGCCCCGACUGCCCGAUUUAUCGGGCAGCAUAAACCGUGUCCCAGUACCCGGCUGCCCAAAAAAUCGUGCAGCUACUGUCCAAGCCCCACACACGGCUGCCCGAUAAAUCGGGCGGCACGACCGUGUUUACAAAAUCGCUCUUUCUACUUCCUUUCUCGUGUGUAAUCUCGUUCUAAAUAUGGAAACAAGAUCUACACGUAAUGACAUGUCAUUCGAUGGAAUUUCCCACUCUUUUUGGCGCGAAAAUCACGAAUGUCACCUGUUUUCGCGACAGGUAUUUUUCUCGCUUGAAUCGUAAACCUAGCGUAAUGGCGGCCAACUACGAUUCGGAUAGGGAUCAGAUGACUCACAACGACUCUAUCUGGAAUAAUAAUGUGUUUGAUUUGAAUAAUUUACGCGAAGGGGAGAGGGAAUUUCGCGAAUAUUUUCGUGAAGAUUUUGACGGUUUUGACGAGGUGUCCCCCCCCCCCCCCGCCAACUUUCAAGAAUGGGAGUGGCAGAGGGACCACAACGAUGGAGACAUGAGGGAUUUUGAAGAGGCGACCGGACUCAAGAAUAUAUAUUGACACGGUGAGUGAAGUAUCGUGCUAUUGAUUUUUUCCAACUGUUUUACAAUGAUUCUGUGUUUGAACAGAUUAUCAGUGCGACGAAUGAGAAUGCAGCCUACAUGUGAACGAGCGAUCACAACAACAAAGAUCAAUCUGUGAUAUCUUCUCUGUGAUGUCAUUCUUAUAGUAGCUGUGGUUCAAUGUUCAGAUGUGCAUGAAGAGAAUUUACCUGUAAUACCUG